rnacentral:rRNA from 1 species
GUUCCUACGAGCGAGGAUUAGUUCGGGUUCCGGGGGAGUAUGGUCGCAAGGCCGAAAACUUAAAGGAAUUGACGGAAGGGCACCACCAGGAGUGGAAUCUGCGGCUUAAUUUGACAACGCGGGAAAACUCACCAGGUCAGGACACGGUAAGGAUUGACGGACUGAAGGCUCUUUCUCGAUUCCGUGGAAAGUGGUGCAUGGCCGUUUUUGGUUGGUGGAUCGAUCCGUCUGGUUAAUUCCGUUAACGAACGAGACCUCGGCACUCCGAAUAGCGCGGCGGACGUCGCGGCCUCCGGGCCGUCUUCCGCACGAGCUUCUUAGAGGGACCGUCCCCCGCCGGGGAAGGAGGUGCGAGGCAACGACAGGUCUGUGAUGCCCUUAGAUGUUCUGGGCCGCACGC